GACGAACGCUGGCGGCGUGCUUAACACAUGCAAGUCGAGCGGUAAGGCCCUUUCGGGGGUACGACGAGCGGCGAACGGGUGAGUAACACGUGGGUGACCUGCCCUCAGCUCUGGGAUAAGCCUGGGAAACCGGGUCUAAUACUGGAUAUGACUCCAUGACGCAUGUUGUGGGGUGGAAAGCCUUGUGCGGCUGAGGAUGGGCCCGCGGCCUAUCAGCUUGUUGGUGGGGUGAGGCCUACCAAGGCGACGACGGGUAGCCGGCCUGAGAGGGCGACCGGCCACACUGGGACUGAGACACGGCCCAGACUCCUACGGGAGGCAGCAGUGGGGAAUCAUGCGCAAAUGGGCGAAAAGCCUGACGCAGCGACGCCGCGUGAGGGAUGACGGCCUGGUGUAA
rnacentral:rRNA from 1 species